rnacentral:rRNA from 1 species
AGUGGCGGACGGGUGAGUAACGCGUGAGAAUCUACCUUCAGGACGGGGACAACAGCUGGAAACGGCUGCUAAUACCCGAUAUGCCGAAAGGUGAAAAGUUUUUUCGCCUGGAGAGGACCUCGCGUCCGAUUAGCUAGUUGGUGAGGUAAAAGCUUACCAAGGCGACGAUCGGUAGCUGGUCUGAGAGGAUGAGCAGCCACACUGGAACUGAGACACGGUCCAGACUCCUACGGGAGGCAGCAGUGGGGAAUUUUCCGCAAUGGGCGAAAGCCUGACGGAGCAACGCCGCGUGGGGGAAGAAGGUUUUUGGAUUGUAAACCCCUUUUCUCAAGGAAGAACAAAAUGACGGUACUUGAGGAAUCAGCCUCGGCUAACUCCGUGCCAGCAGCCGCGGUAAUACGGAGGAGGCAAGCGUUAUCCGGAAUUAUUGGGCGUAAAGCGUUCGUAGGCGGCUGUUCAAGUCUGCUGUCAAAGACCGAGGCUCAACCUCGGGUAGGCAGUGGAAACUGGAUAGCUAGAGGUCGGUAGGGGCAGAGGGAAUUCCCAGUGUAGCGGUGAAAUGCGUAGAUAUUGGGAAGAACACCGGUGGCGAAAGCGCUCUGCUGGGCCGAACCUGACGCUGAGGGACGAAAGCUAGGGGAGCGAAUGGGAUUAGAUACCCC